ensembl:lncRNA
GGAAGAACUAUGGUGUAGACGGAGGACAGCUAGCUUCCGUCCUCCUCUGGGUAUAUUGAAUUCAAUAGGUACAUUGAAUUCAUGGUUCUCACCCCCUUCCAUAGACUUACACUGUAAUUAUGAUGACUUCCAGAGGACAUCCUCCAAACUAUCAGAGUUCUUCCAGCAUGAACUGACAUGUUGUCCACCCAAUCAAAGGACCAGGUAAUUAAUCUAGUACUGAAACCAUAAACUACAGCUAGCUAGCACUGCAGUGCAUAAAAUGUGAUCACUCGUUACGUGGAGCAGCACAGGGGAAACCCAAGACCGGACUUAGACGAAGAAACAGACGAAUAAACCAAGGACCUGAGCCCUAGGACCAUGCCCCAGGACUACCUGACAUGAUGACUCCUUGCUGUCCCCAGUCCACCUGGCCAUGCUGCUGCUCCAGUUUCAACUUCCACCUGACUGUGCUGCUGCUCCAGUUUCAACUGUUCUGCAUUAUUAUUAUUCGACCAUGCUGGUCAUUUAUGAACAUUUGAACAUCUUGGCCAUGUUCUGUUAUAAUCUCCACCCGGCACAGCCAGAAGAGGACUGGCCACCCCACAUAGCCUGGUUCCUCUCUAGGUUUCUUC